rnacentral:rRNA from 1 species
GAUGAACGCUAGCGGCAGGCCUAACACAUGCAAGUCGAGGGGUAGAGGAAGCUUGCUUCCUUGAGACCGGCGCACGGGUGCGUAACGCGUAUGCAAUCUACCUUGUACAGAGGGAUAGCCCAGAGAAAUUUGGAUUAAUACCUUAUAGUAUUAUUGAAUGGCAUCAUUUAAUAAUUAAAGUUCCAACGGUACAAGAUGAGCAUGCGUCCUAUUAGCUAGUUGGUGUGGUAACGGCAUACCAAGGCUACGAUAGGUAGGGGUCCUGAGAGGGAGAUCCCCCACACUGGUACUGAGACACGGACCAGACUCCUACGGGAGGCAGCAGUAAGGAAUAUUGGACAAUGGGCGCAAGCCUGAUCCAGCCAUGCCACGUGCAGGAAGACGCAUCUAUGGUGUGUAAACUGCUUUUGUACGGGAAGAAACACUCCCUCGUGAGGGAGCUUGACGGUACCGUAAGAAUAAGGAUCGGCUAACUCCGUGCCAGCAGCCGCCGUAAUAC